UCCUACGGGAGGCAGCAGUGGGGAAUAUUGCACAAUGGGCGCAAGCCUGAUGCAGCCAUGCCGCGUGUGUGAAGAAGGCCUUCGGGUUGUAAAGCACUUUCAUCGGGGAGGAAGGGUGUUUUCUUAAUACGUUAGUCAGUGACGUACCUGCAGAGAGCCCGUC
rnacentral:rRNA from 1 species